UGGUCGUACAGGAAAGGGCAGGGGCGACUCCCCACUCUUCAAAACCCUAGAAACUUCACUAAUCUUGCAAAUUGAAGGUCCAAUUCAGUCCAAAAUCGAAAUUUAAGCAUGGAUUAUUGAUCCUCAUCACAAGAGGAUUAAAAGUUUGACUCUGACAAGCUAGGUAGGAGCUUGGAAAUGAACGGGUCAAAUGGAUACAAGUUCAAGUAUGAAGCUCGCAAGGAUGCAAGGUAAGUAUAACUUACACUAGUCAUAUAUUUUAAAAUGUUCUUUUGUCAUAUUGACUACGAAUAAGACAAAUGGUAAUUUAGUCACACGUUGACAAUAAUCGUUAGUUUUAAAAGACGCUUUCCCGCGAAAGACAUAAAGAGCCGAAAAUGGUAAUAAACGGUUUAUAAAUAAAAUGAGCAUACGGUGUUAAAAGGAGCGAGUCAUGUAGAUGAGAUGAUAAUAAAUAUUAUCUCGCAAAGAUAAACGGUCAAUUCGGCCAAACGGGUCAAAAGGUGUAGACAUCACCUUUUGACGAUAUCGACUAAUGAUUCUGGUGUCGAGUUAUAUGUUUACAGGAGUAGAUAUCCAAUGGAUACUCGCAUCGCUCUUAAUUAGCAAUUAUAAAGCAAGGUAUUAAACCGGGUUAGUAAGUUGAUCCGAGCCAGGUAUGUAUAAUAGAUUAACUUAUCAUGUAGAACUUGAAGUUCUAUGAAAGUUAGGCAAAAUAAAAAAAAAGGCAUUCGGUUACCUUAAUAGGUAAACCGAAGGAUUUAAAUUAUUUAGACAGAAUGUUUUGAAAACAAGAUUUGGUUAAAAAUGAGAAAUUAGAAUCAAACAACAGGUUUGUUUGAUAAAUCACGAACGGGUCAAAUUUGGUAAAAAGGGUUAAUAAGCCGAAGACUUAAAAGUCUUAAAAUUUUGUUAAUCCAGAUGUUGGGUCUUGACUCCAUUUGAUGGAGGUUCAAUUUACAAUCACGUAGGAAGAAACGGUAGGUCAAACAGACGAGCGGUUUGAAAGAUACGAAAGUUUUCGUGUCAAAAACGGCAAAAAGGAAAGGAAUGAUGCAGGGGCCACCGUAACUUACGGUGCCACCGUAAGUUACGGUGGACAUGAUUUGGUUACGGUAAAUGCCUACUGUUGUACGGUUGAAUAAUUGAAACACAGAGACCACGGUAACUUACGGUGCCACCGUAAGUUACGGUGGAGGUCAGAAAUGAGUUUUUAUUUUGGGUUUAAGAUAUCCAUGUGGGAUUUUCCUAAUUUCCCCAUUGUAUUAGUUUAAUUAAUUAUCAAAAACUGACCUUUAAGUUGGUUUUGAUCACAGGUGAAUGUCGAGGGUCCCGGAUGAAGAUCGAGCAUCGAGCAAGAACCGAACACACACUAAAUAAAGCUUCCGCAACGUUGUUUUGUCGUUAUUCUAAACGGUGAUUUAAAUCACAUUAUGUAUAUCACUUAAAUUGUAAAAGUUUUUAAUAAACCCGCAUUUUGUACAGUAUGUGUGGUCUUAACUACACAUCUAAUUGUGGUAUUUUCAUGUAAAAUUGUAAUUUAGUAACUAGGGUGUUACAAGUUGGUAAUCAGAGCUCAUGGUUAAAGAUUAAGGUGUGUUCGGUUCGAGGCUUGAUCGCAAAUCCGGUAAGUACGUAUAUGUUAAUAGCUUAGCAUGCUAAAGUGUUGUAAACAACACAUAGGGCUAUCGUGUGAUACACGUUACCCCAAUUAAAAUGAUUAAUAUGGUUGACGAAAAUACGCGCGUUGACGCGUAUAGUAAAAAAAAAAAAAAAAAAAAAAAGCCUUAUAUUAUAAUACGGGCGAUUAUUGAAGUUGAAAUUACUAACUCUUGUGAAUGUUUUAAUUGAAGGACACUCGCGUCUGAAGAUGACGAGAGUUGAACAAAUUGCGGAUAUGAUGAUGGAACGGUCCGAGAUGUGACAAGAAGAGCAUACUCAUCAAGGACCUAAAUCGCGUAACGAUCGCAAAUAAGUAAUGGCAAGGAAUGCCCGUCGGGGCAAGCAUUACCAGGUGCACAUUUUAAACUUAUAGUACAAAAAGUAAUAUGCAACAAAUACAUAGUGAAUGACAGUUGCAUAUAGAAUAUGAAACUUGGAAAACCUGGAUAGGUUACCUAUCCAGGAUGACGUUUCCAAGAGAAAUUCAGUAGAGAAUAUGUAUUAUUCACAAAUUGUGAAUAACAAGACAAUAACAAAAUUCAGUUUAUAUAGAAACUUGGACGAGAGUGAUCAUCCAAGUAAGUAUUCUCAAUAUAAAUCCUAUUGAGAAAAGUAAUGAUCACAUCAACAAAUGUGAAUAAAUGUUUAUAAAAAGGGACAUUUUACAUGUUCAAGGAUAAACGACUAAAACUAAUAAUUGUUAACUAACAAUUAAAUAAAGUUUUACCAAAUGAAAUCAUAAAUAUGGAAAUAAUUUGAGGAGUUACUUACAUGGGACGUGAUGUGGUAAUUAUAAUAAGGUCACGCGUACCAUGUGUUGAUCGCUUACUCUGGCCAAGUAAGUAGUGAACACAUGAUAGCAUGAGCUUCUUAUAAUGAGCGCAGUUAUGUCCGAUGUAGUAAGGUCAAGAUGAAUGAAAAUUUAAAGGAUCCUUAGGGUCAAGAAAUCUUAUGGGCAUACUCGUAUAAAUGGUUUUCGCGGGAACCAUAAAAACGACGUAUGGCGCACAUAGAAAUAAAUGACCCAAGGAAAUUCGUGACAUAAGUCAUUUCGGACGAAACAACCAUGGUAGACAAAAAGGGCAUUGUAAAACCAAAGUAUAAAUGACCCGCGGGGUCAUAGAAACAAAGGUAUUGCCCACAUGGAAAAACGAUCAAAGUCGUUGACUUUGGUCGUAGUAAAGAAAUGAUGAUGAUGAUGAUAAUCAUCAUUCAUAGUUUAUAAGACUGUCAAGGAUGGUCGAAUAAAGAAUAAAGGUUUGGUUGAAUAAAAGUGAUGGAUUUCGCUAAGACAACCAAACAAAUUAAAACGAAAUCUUAAUGUAUACCGGAAUGCUUGCACUAAUAAUGACUUCGGUAAAGUACCCGGUUGAUGGGUAAGGAUUUAAACACAUGCGUAAACCGAGAAAUGGGAACACGAAUUUAAAGUCAAAAGACUCGGAUUAUGAGUUAUGACUGAAAGACCAUAAAAUUUUGCAAACAGAAAUUUUGAUAAUUAUAUUCAACUAUUUUGAGGUUGAACGGGUUGAAUAAAGUAUAAUGCUUGAUGGCAUAAGUAAGCGCAAGCCGGAUAACAGUAAGCUUGAGACAAACCGAUGCUUAAUUGACGUGAGAAGUCAUAGAGUCGGAAGAAUUAUCCAAAAGAAAACGAUUGUAGACACGAACUACAGUCAAAGUUAACGGAUUUCAAGCAUGAAAACAAAUGAUUUUCAAACAAAAAAAAGUGCUUUGACACCAAAUAUAUAUUUUAAUAAAGAUACGAGUAAAAAGAAUGAUCUACGGGAUCAUCAUAACCUUUAGGUUAUAAACAGUGUAAAGGUCUACGGGACCAAAAUGACCUACGGGUCAUGAAUAAAAAGGAAAAAGGAUCAUAAAGGACUCGCCUUAAAGAGGUGAGAGCCUAAAGAAAUAGCCUACGAGGCUAAGUGAAUGAACCUAUGGGUUAUCUAGACAUAGCGAGGGAACUGGUUGAGAAUCCCCGCGUAAAAUAAGAAUGAAAAAGAAUAAAUUCUUAAUUGUCAAUUUCUUGAUAUGAGUAAUUGACGAAAGUUAAAGAGAAGACGUUAAAUUAAACUUCAAGUUUUAGUGAGAAACAACGUUUUAACAAAUAUGAAUACUACAAGACGAUUUUGGAAAUAAAAAAAAUAUAUCAAAGAGUAUGGGUCUUAACAUCGAUAGGUUCAAGACGAUAUAUUCGAAAAAGUGGUAUUUUCGAAAAUGAAAGGUUGAUAUAAAUUAAACAUGACGUGACACGAUCACGGUUAAGAAAUGCAAUGUGAAGUGGAAUCACAUUAUCACCAGGCGAGCGGUAAAAAGCAACUGGACUAAUAAGUCUAGUUAGUGAGAUCGGUUAAGGAAAUUUAAGUAAGUUGGUUGCUUGUAAGCGGUGGAUUCAGUAUAACUGAACCGAAUAAAUGAAUUGGAAAAAAAAAGAAAUAGUUGCUAAAAGAGAAAGAUUUCACUAAAGACCUUUAAACGGAUCAAGGUAACGGAUUCACAAAGAGUUCGAUAAUAUAUGAAAGCGAUGGAUAUCGCUAAGUUAACUAACUAGUGGAAAUAACAAGAUUACGUUAUUUCAAGUUGCACUAUGUCGUAUGAGAUAUGUAGACAAUUAGUGACCAAAAAGAUGUUACCAUACCUAUAUGGUAAUACGAACAAUUGGUUAAAAGUAUAAGUAAUGUUUAAAAGAUAUCUCGUAAAAAAAAUACGUUGAGUUUAAACUCAAUGAGUUAUGUAAGAAAAGGUUUCGAGGAAGAAACCUCUUUAAGGGGGUAGACUUGUAACACCCCGAAAACGGGUUUGGUAAUCAAACCACGUUUAUACUAAAAGACGGGUAAAUUACCUUUAGUGGUAAAAGUAACCCGGCGAAUAUUAGGAUUCUUGAAUAAACAAGAACUUACUAACUAGGAAUUUUAACCUAGUUAGCUAAUAUUCUAGAAGUAACUUAUGAUAGGGUUAAAAACAACCAAAACUAUAUGUCAAACAAAAGAUGAGGGGCCUAAGUUGUAAGAAAUUGAAAUUAUAUUACUAAUUUUAAUAAAAAUCAAAACCAAACACCCAUUAAGGAUGUCUGGUCGUACAGGAAAGGGCAGGGGCGACUCCCCACUCUUCAAAACCCUAGAACUUCACUAAUCUUGCAAAUUGAAGGUCCAAUUCAGUCCAAAAUCGAAAUUUAAGCAUGGAUUAUUGAUCCUCAUCACAAGAGGAUUAAAAGGUAUGUAAAAUUUAAUGAAAAAUCUCUAGUUGGAUUUCUAGGUAAACUUAGAAAUCUGAAAUUUAUGGUUGCAUGUUCGUUAUAUGAUGAAAUUAGGAAUGAUUUUAUGUCUAGGAGUAAACCCUAGUCAUUUACUUGUUGAAUUGAUGUUCCUAAUUGUGAAUUCAUGAUCACCCGAUUAUGUGCUAAAUGGGUUUUGUAGAAACAUGAUGAACACUAGAAUCAUAAUGGUUAAAUUGUGUUAAUAGAACUCACUGAAGUUAGAUUUGAAGUUUGAUGUUAGUACUUGUUAAUUUUGCUAGAAUUUAAGGGUUUAGAACACUUAAAUGGGCUGGAGAAAUUUGAUGUUUCGUGUUGCACACAAGGUGCUUGUUAAAAUGCUUGAACAAGAAAAUAUAACAAAGCCGAUUGGAAAUAAAAUUAUUGGGCUGCAGUUUUAAAAAAAUCAUAUAAAAUUACUGGAACGGCCUGUGAGGUUGAGCCUUAUAUGCUCAGAAAGCUAUUAAAACAUACUACGUUUAAUGUUUGAACAUGUUUGUUAAAUUCUGAUGUUAAACGGGUCAAAACAGUGUCCGAAGUAGGCUGAACUGUUUUGACAGCAAGCUGAUUGGAAAAAAAAAAUUGUUGGGCUGCAGUUUUUAAAAAAUCAUAUAAAAUCACUGGAACAUCCUGUGAGGUUGAGCCUUAUAUGCUCAGAAAGCUAUUAAAACAUACUACGUUUUAUGUUUGGACAUGUUUGUUAAAUUCUGAUGUUAAACGGGUCAAAACAGUGUCCGAAGUCGGCUGAACUGUUUUGACAGCAAGCUGACAGGAAGCAUUUUUUUUUACUUCAGAGCUGAUUUUGUAAAAAUCAUAUAAAAUCAUAGGAACAUCGUUAGAAAACGUACCAUAUAUGCCUAGAAAGCUAUUUCAGAGUUUUACGAUCCGUUUUUGAACAUGUUGAUCUAAUUCAACUUUUAAAUGGGUCAAAAUGGUCAAUUACAGCAGCUGAAUACAAAAUCGCUGCACUUUAGUAAUGUUCUUAUUAACCAAGAAAAAGACAUAUGAUUGCGUAUACUUGUUUAGUCAUGAAGCAUUUAUUGUUAGGAACAAGUAACACUUUAUAUGACAUGCUUAAAGUGUUCAAAAUCACUUACUAACUAGUUUGUAUAAAUAAUUUGACUAACGGGUCAAACGGUUAGUGAAUGGAAAGAAUUAUGACAAAAAAAUAAAUAAGUAAAUAAUAUAGUUGUUGAAUAAAUAGCAUACUUUGGUGAAUAAGUGUGUGAAUCCAUAAGGUGUGAUGGUCAUGUUAAUGGUUGACUAAUCUAAUCAUCUUGUGGAUAUGAUAUGGUAGUUUGACUCUGACAAGCUAGGUAGGAGCUUGGAAAUGAACGGGUCAAAUGGAUACAAGUUCAAGUAUGAAGCUCGCAAGGAUGCAAGGUAAGUAUAACUUACACUAGUCAUAUAUUUUAAAAUGUUCUUUUGUCAUAUUGACUACGAAUAAGACAAAUGGUAAUUUAGUCACACGUUGACAAUAAUCGUUAGUUUUAAAAGACGCUUUCCCGCGAAAGACAUAAAGAGCCGAAAAUGGUAAUAAACGGUUUAUAAAUAAAAUGAGCAUACGGUGUUAAAAGGAGCGAGUCAUGUAGAUGAGAUGAUAAUAAAUAUUAUCUCGCAAAGAUAAACGGUCAAUUCGGCCAAACGGGUCAAAAGGUGUAGACAUCACCUUUUGACGAUAUCGACUAAUGAUUCUGGUGUCGAGUUAUAUGUUUACAGGAGUAGAUAUCCAAUGGAUACUCGCAUCGCUCUUAAUUAGCAAUUAUAAAGCAAGGUAUUAAACCGGGUUAGUAAGUUGAUCCGAGCCAGGUGAAUGUUGAGGGUCCCGGAUGAAGAUCGAGCAUCGAGCAAGAACCGAACACACACUAAAUAAAGCUUCCGCAACGUUGUUUUGUCGUUAUUCUAAACGGUGAUUUAAAUCACAUUAUGUAUAUCACUUAAAUUGUAAAAGUUUUUAAUAAACCCGCAUUUUGUACAGUAUGUGUGGUCUUAACUACACAUCUAAUUGUGGUAUUUUCAUGUAAAAUUGUAAUUUAGUAACUAGGGUGUUACAAGUUGGUAAUCAGAGCUCAUGGUUAAAGAUUAAGGUGUGUUCGGUUCGAGGCUUGAUCGCAAAUCCGGACACUCGCGUCUGAAGAUGACGAGAGUUGAACAAAUUGCGGAUAUGAUGAUGGAACGGUCCGAGAUGUGACAAGAAGAGCAUACUCAUCAAGGACCUAAAUCGCGUAACGAUCGCAAAUAAGUAAUGGCAAGGAAUGCCCGUCGGGGCAAGCAUUACCAGGUGCACAUUUUAAACUUAUAGUACAAAAAGUAAUAUGCAACAAAUACAUAGUGAAUGACAGUUGCAUAUAGAAUAUGAAACUUGGAAAACCUGGAUAGGUUACCUAUCCAGGAUGACGUUUCCAAGAGAAAUUCAGUAGAGAAUAUGUAUUAUUCACAAAUUGUGAAUAACAAGACAAUAACAAAAUUCAGUUUAUAUAGAAACUUGGACGAGAGUGAUCAUCCAAGUAAGUAUUCUCAAUAUAAAUCCUAUUGAGAAAAGUAAUGAUCACAUCAACAAAUGUAAAUAAAUGUUUAUAAAAAGGGACAUUUUACAUGUUCAAGGAUAAACGACUAAAACUAAUAAUUGUUAACUAACAAUUAAAUAAAGUUUUACCAAAUGAAAUCAUAAAUAUGGAAAUAAUUUGAGGAGUUACUUACAUGGGACGUGAUGUGGUAAUUAUAAUAAGGUCACGCGUACCAUGUGUUGAUCGCUUACUCUGGCCAAGUAAGUAGUGAACACAUGAUAGCAUGAGCUUCUUAUAAUGAGCGCAGUUAUGUCCGAUGUAGUAAGGUCAAGAUGAAUGAAAAUUUAAAGGAUCCUUAGGGUCAAGAAAUCUUAUGGGCAUACUCGUAUAAAUGGUUUUCGCGGGAACCAUAAAAACGACGUAUGGCGCACAUAGAAAUAAAUGACCCAAGGAAAUUCGUGACAUAAGUCAUUUCGGACGAAACAACCAUGGUAGACAAAAAGGGCAUUGUAAAACCAAAGUAUAAAUGACCCGCGGGGUCAUAGAAACAAAGGUAUUGCCCACAUGGAAAAACGAUCAAAGUCGUUGACUUUGGUCGUAGUAAAGAAAUGAUGAUGAUGAUGAUAAUCAUCAUUCAUAGUUUAUAAGACUGUCAAGGAUGGUCGAAUAAAGAAUAAAGGUUUGGUUGAAUAAAAGCGAUGGAUUUCGCUAAGACAACCAAACAAAUUAAAACGAAAUCUUAAUGUAUACCGGAAUGCUUGCACUAAUAAUGACUUCGGUAAAGUACCCGGUUGAUGGGUAAGGAUUUAAACACAUGCGUAAACCGAGAAACGGGAACACGAAUUUAAAGUCAAAAGACUCGGAUUAUGAGUUAUGACUGAAAGACCAUAAAAUUUUGCAAACAGAAAUUUUGAUAAUUAUAUUCAACUAUUUUGAGGUUGAACGGGUUGAAUAAAGUAUAAUGCUUGAUGGCAUAAGUAAGCGCAAGCCGGAUAACAGUAAGCUUGAGACAAACCGAUGCUUAAUUGACGUGAGAAGUCAUAGAGUCGGAAGAAUUAUCCGAAAGAAAACGAUUGUAGACACGAACUACAGUCAAAGUUAACGGAUUUCAAGCAUGAAAACAAAUGAUUUUCAAACAAAAAAAAAAGUGCUUUGACACCAAAUAUAUAUUUUAAUAAAGAUACGAGUAAAAAGAAUGAUCUACGGGAUCAUCAUAACCUUCAGGUUAUAAACAGUGUAAAGGUCUACGGGACCAAAAUGACCUACGGGUCAUGAAUAAAAAGGAAAAAGGAUCAUAAAGGACUCGCCUUAAAGAGGUGAGAGCCUAAAGAAAUAGCCUACGAGGCUAAGUGAAUGAACCUAUGGGUUAUCUAGACAUAGCGAGGGAACUGGUUGAGAAUCCCCGCGUAAAAUAAGAAUGAAAAAGAAUAAAUUCUUAAUUGUCAAUUUCUUGAUAUGAGUAAUUGACGAAAGUUAAAGAGAAGACGUUAAAUUAAACUUCAAGUUUUAGUGAGAAACAACGUUUUAACAAAUAUGAAUACUACAAGACGAUUUUGGAAAUAAAAAAAAUAUAUCAAAGAGUAUGGGUCUUAACAUCGAUAGGUGCAAGACGAUAUAUUCGAAAAAGUGGUAUUUUCGAAAAUGAAAGGUUGAUAUAAAUUAAACAUGACGUGACACGAUCACGGUUAAGAAAUGCAAUGUGAAGUGGAAUCACAUUAUCACCAGGCGAGCGGUAAAAAGCAACUGGACUAAUAAGUCUAGUUAGUGAGAUCGGUUAAGGAAAUUUAAGUAAGUUGGUUGCUUGUAAGCGGUGGAUUCAGUAUAACUGAACCGAAUAAAUGAAUUGGAAAACAAAAGAAAUAGUUGCUAAAAGAGAAAGAUUUCACUAAAGACCUUUAAACGGGUCAAGGUAACGGAUUCACAAAGAUGUCACAAGUUCGAUAAUAUAUGAAAGCGAUGGAUAUCGCUAAGUUAACUAACUAGUGGAAAUAACAAGAUUACGUUAUUUCAAGUUGCACUAUGUCGUAUGAGAUAUGUAGACAAUUAGUGACCAAAAAGAUGUUACCAUACCUAUAUGGUAAUACGAACAAUUGGUUAAAAGUAUAAGUAAUGUUUAAAAGAUAUCUCGUAAAAAAAAUACGUUGAGUUUAAACUCAAUGAGUUAUGUAAGAAAAGGUUUCGAGGAAGAAACCUCUUUAAGGGGGUAGACUUGUAACACCCCGAAAACGGGUUUGGUAAUCAAACCACGUUUAUACUAAAAGACGGGUAAAUUACCUUUAGUGGUAAAAGUAACCCAGCGAAUAUUAGGAUUCUUGAAUAAACAAGAACUUACUAACUAGGAAUUUUAACCUAGUUAGCUAAUAUUCUAGAAGUAACUUAUGAUAGGGUUAAAAACAACCAAAACUAUAUGUCAAACAAAAGAUGAGGGGCCUAAGUUGUAAGCAAUUGAAAUUAUAUUACUAAUUUUAAUAAAAAUCAAAACCAAACACCCAUUAAGGAUGUCUGGUCGUACAGGAAAGGGCAGGGGCGACUCCCCACUCUUCAAAACCCUAGAACUUCACUAAUCUUGCAAAUUGAAGGUCCAAUUCAGUCCAAAAUCGAAAUUUAAGCAUGGAUUAUUGAUCCUCAUCACAAGAGGAUUAAAAGGUAGGAGCUUGGAAAUGAACGGGUCAAAUGGAUACAAGUUCAAGUAUGAAGCUCGCAAGGAUGCAAGAACUCACUGAAGUUAGAUUUGAAGUUAAUCUCUUUCAAGUACAAACAAACGACAAAAGUUAAGCGAUUUUUGGAAGAGUGGAAGAUGGAUAAGGAAGAUUUCUUGGAUGACAAUUGAAGACCAAUGUUUUUUUUGUUUUGAUGUAAUUGGUUGUGAUUUUGGUUGUUUGUGUUGAACUCUUUAGUGGUAUGCCACUAAGAGAACUAGAGGGUAUUUUCAGCCUUGUACUUGUAUUUUGUUGAUAUUUAUAAAAAUCACCGGGGUAACCCUUUAC
rnacentral:lncRNA from 1 species